rnacentral:rRNA from 1 species
UACAGAGGUCCCAAGCGUUGUUCGGAUUCACUGGGCGUAAAGGGUGCGUAGGUGGUGAGGUAAGUCCGAUGUGAAAGCUCCGAGCUCAACUCGGAAAUUGCAUUAGAAACUACCUUGCUCGAGGGUUGGAGGGGGGACUGGAAUUCUCGGUGUAGCAGUGAAAUGCGUAGAUAUCGAGAGGAACACCAGUGGCGAAGGCGAGUCCCUGGACAACUCCUGACACUGAGGCACGAAAGCUAGGGGAGCAAAC